CCUACGGGAGGCAGCAGUGAGGAAUAUUGGUCAAUGGCCGUAAGGCUGAACCAGCCAAGUCGCGUGAAGGAAGAAGGAUCUAUGGUUUGUAAACUUAUUUUAUAGGGGAAUAAAGGUAUCCACGUGUGGAUAUUUGCAUGUACCCUAUGAAUAAGCAUCGGCUAACUCCGUUCCAGCAGCCGCGGUAAUACGGAGGAGGCGAACUUUAUCCGGAUUUAAUGGGUUUAAACGGUGCGUAGGUUGUUUUUUAAGUCAGCGGGGAAAGUUUGUGGCUCAACCAUAAAAUUGCCGUUGAAACUGGAAGACUUGAGUGUGUUUGAGGUAGGCGUAAUGCGUGGUGUAGCGGUGAAAUGCAUAGAUAUCACGCAGAACUCCGAUUGCGAAGGCAGCUUACUAAGCCAUAACUGACACUGAAGCACGAAAGCGUGGGGAUCAAACAGGAUUAGAUACCCCUGUAGUC
rnacentral:rRNA from 1 species